GAUCGGGUGUCGCUGAGGCAUGGCCCGACGCUACCGGCCUCGGACGGCCGAGGGCAGUCGACUUUGGUCUAUGGAGCAUCGCCUUGAGUCGGUUUCC
rnacentral:tRNA from 1 species